GACGAACGCUGGCGGCGUGCUUAACACAUGCAAGUCGAGCGAAGAAAGUUGAGCUUGCUUAACUUUCUUAGCGGCGGACGGGUGAGUAACACGUGGGCAACCUGCCCUCAAGAGUGGAAUAACACAUCGAAAGAUGUGCUAAUACCGCAUAACGCAUAUCUACCGCAUGGUGGAUAUGCCAAAGAUUUAUCGCUUGAGGAUGGGCCCGCGGCCCAUUAGCUAGUUGGUGAGGUAACGGCCCACCAAGGCCACGAUGGGUAGCCGACCUGAGAGGGUGAUCGGCCACAUUGGGACUGAGACACGGCCCAGACUCCUACGGGAGGCAGCAGUGGGGAAUAUUGCACAAUGGAGGAAACUCUGAUGCAGCAACGCCGCGUGAGCGACGAAGGCCUUCGGGUUGUAAGACUCUGUCUUCGUCUGACGAUAAUAGACGGUAAGCGGAGGAGGGAAGGACCGACCGGCCGUAACUACCGUGGCCCAGCGAGCGCGGUAAACG
rnacentral:rRNA from 1 species